UUCACGCUUCAUCCUCACUACUCUGUCUCUCCGAAUCAACGCUCAACACUCACCUCCGACAAUGGUUUUGUAGCUAUGCAAGGUACGUAUGUCAACAGCGAGGAGAGUUCUUGUCAUUCAAUGGUUUACUAUGGCGAGGAAAAUCUAUAUUGUAUUGUCAGUGUGGUCAAAGAUUGAAGGUACGGACAUCAUGGACGGAUCAAAACCCUGGAAGAAGGUAUUGGGAUUGUGCACAUGAAAAUCAAGGAGGGGUGUUGGUGGUUGUGGAUUUGUGAGAUGGUUUGACCCUCUAAUGUGUUCAAGAUCCAAGAUGAUUAUUCCUGGGUUGCUAAGAAGAAUAAACCGGAAUGAACAAGAAAUUGAAGCCCUAAAAGCAAAGAUUAGAGACAUUGGCAGUGUUAAGGCAUCUAAUUCCACUGUGAAAACAAAAGUAAAGUGUUUGUGUAGAGUUGUGUUUAUUGUAUUUGUUUUUGUAACAAUGUUAGUGUUUGUUAGUUGGGAGUUCAAGGCUAAUAGUGUCGGGGUUAAAAAACUUAUUUUAGCUUAAUAGUGUUGGAAUGUAAUGGCCUAUGUAGAACUACUAUGUGAAUGAUCUAUUGAAGAAUGUUAAUGAAUGCUCAAUUUAAGAAUGGUCAAAAA